AUGGAGAUAGAUCUGAACCGGGACGCCCGCGACGGCGACGCGGAGAGGGUCGCCGCCCCGCAGAGUAACCGCGCCGUCGGAGUGGAGGUCGUCGCCCAGGAGGGCAACGGCGAUGGUGGCAUGGUGGCCGCUGCGGAGGGCGUCGGCGCUGCCCCGGAGACGGUCGGCGUCGGCGCCGAGGAGGGCGUCGCCCCGGAGAAGAACGGCGUCGGCUCCGGUGGCGAGAAGGAGGUCGCCUCGGAGGGGAGCGGCGCCGGCGCCGAGGUGGGCGCUGCCGUCGAGACGAACGGCGUCGCAGUUGACGUCUGGAUCUGCCACCAGUGCCGUCAGAGAAAAACAGGGCUCACGGCAGCUUGCAGAGGGUCCAAGAAGAAUGGCAAGUGCACUCUCAGAUAUUGCAAGAAUUGCAUACGUAACAGGUACCCUUUGAUUGCGGAUGAGGUGUUGAAGGAGGAAGCCUGGGAAUGCCCCAAGUGCAGGAAUGACUGCAACUGCAGCAAGUGCAAAAAGAGGAGAGGGGAGGAGCCAGCAGGACCAAUGGUCCAUUCUGUCAAGAGACCGAAGGGCGACCUGCGGAGAAUUGAGAGCACCGAUGCUCUCAAGGAUGAAAUAGUCAUACCCAGAGGUACUCUUGUCAAGAGACCGAAGGGCAACCUGCGGAGAAUUGAGAGCACCGAUGCUCUCAAGGAUGAAAUAGUCAUACCCAGAGGUACUCUUGUCAAGAGACCGAAGGGCAACCUGCGGAGAAUUGAGAGCACCGAUGCUCUCAAGGAUGAAAUAGUCAUACCCAGAGGUACUCUUGUGACUUGCGUUGCUGGUGUAGAGAUGCAGCCUGAAGAUGUUGGUGCCGCCAUUCAAUUUUUGGAGUUUUGUCGCUCAUUUGGCGAGAUCUUCCAAAUAAGGAAGGGCCAAUCAGAAAAAAUUGUCAAAGACAUAACUGGAGAUCGUCAACUCCGAGAGGUGUCUUCAGUUGUUGCUGAGCUUCACACAAACCUGUUGUCUGUCAUAGAAAAUGGCAAUUACAAGCCUUUGAAAUAUCCAAAACAUGGGGAUACAUGGAUAAGAAGACUCAGCAAAUAUAUCACUGACUCGACAUUACACGCAAAAGAUUUCAUCCUUGACUGCUUAAGCCAUGGGCUAUCUGGAUAUAAAAAUUUGAGCCCUUCUCAUAAGCUGGAUGUGCUGAAUUCUCUGUGUGACGAGGCAUUAUCAUCUGAAAAGUUGAGGACUAGGAUUGAAGCUAGAGAGGGUGUGGUCAGACAAAAGAUCCGUGCUGCAACCGAGAAGGAAAAGGAGCUAAAAGAAAGACAGAAUGACAUGGCUAAAACAAUGGGAGGAGAAAUCACUGGCAAUGAAGAAGCUAAUAAUAUCUUUUGUCAAAUAAAAGAGGCAAAAGAAGUCAAGCAGGCAGCCAUGAAGGAAUUAGAGGAACUGGGAUGUGUCCUUAGGUCCACGCCUGUCAUGGUAGACAAAGGAGUAGCAUACUGGAAGCUGGAUGGCUAUUGUAAUAACAAUACAAACAUAUUGCGCCAAGAAUUUGACAAAGAAGCUACAAUGAAGAACCAAGACAAGUGGUUCAUGUUCAGUGAAGAUGAACAGAAAGUAGUUGAAAAUCAUGUAACUACAAGGUCCCAGCGCCCAUGGAGAAAUGAUAACCGGGUGUGA
rnacentral:rRNA from 1 species